rnacentral:rRNA from 1 species
GUGAGGAAUUUUCCGCAAUGGGCGAAAGCCUGACGGAGCAAUGCCGCGUGAAGGAUGAAGGCCUAUGGGUUGUAAACUUCUUUUCUUAGAAAAGAAUUAUGACGGUAUCUGAGGAAUAAGCAUCGGCUAACUCUGUGCCAGCAGCCGCGGUAAGACAGAGGAUGCAAGCGUUAUCCGGAAUGAUUGGGCGUAAAGCGUCUGUAGGUUGUUUAAAAAGUAUUCUGUCAAAGAUUAGGGCUUAACCCUAGAUAGGCAGAAUAAACUUUUAAGCUAGAGUUUGGUAGAGGCAGAGGGAAUUCCCGGUGGAGCGGUGAAAUGCGUAGAUAUCGGGAGGAACACCAAAGGCGAAGGCACUCUGCUGGGCCAAUACUAACACUGAGAGACGAAAGCGAGGGGAGCAAAUGGGAUUAGAAACCCUAGUAGUCC